CCUGCCCAAGGGAACGAGUGAAGCUGCCAGCAUGAUCUAGCUCGGAGUGAUCACGCGAGGAGAACAAUAGCUCGAGGUGGUCAUGCCUUGCUAGAUCAUGCUGUGGCAGCCUCACUUCUUCCCGUCCUUGGGCAUAGCACGGUGGUGGUGGCCGUGUUCGUCUGGUAAAGCAGGUAGUAUAUAUGUACCAACAGUUGCUGCAUCCUACCUUCUAAAGUUUAUUUCUCUACAUCUCUUGGGAGUAGAGUGGUAGUGACAUUCUGAUCUGGGUGCA